GCCUUCGUGGUGUAGUGGUCAGCACGCUAGACGCGUAAUCUCUAGGUCCGUGGUUCGAACCCCGAUGAUGGCG
rnacentral:tRNA from 1 species